GGGUUGUGAGGUUAAGCGACUAAGCGUACACGGUGGAUGCCCUGGCAGUCAGAGGCGAUGAAGGGCGUGCUAAUCUGCGAUAAGCGCCGGUAAGG
rnacentral:rRNA from 1 species